rnacentral:misc_RNA from 1 species
GGGCUGAGUUAAACUUUUUUAGGAAAAAACCCAAAUCAGCAAGCAAUUCAGAAAACAAAGAAAAGAGAGCAAAAAUCCACUUAAGGGUCUCAGCUUUCUAGUAUUGCUCAAACAAAGAAACUCCAAGAUAGCGAAACGGAAGAAUCCUCUCAUCCUCUCCCAUCAGUCUCAUCAUCAUCAUCCAUCCCUCCGCUUAAUAACAAUAUCCAACUCAUAGAACUUCCUCUCUCGCUCUCUGUCUCUCUCUCUCUCUCUCUCUCCUCAAAAAAUGGAAAUUCUGUAAUAGCAAACAAUAUAUAGUCUAUCACAAACUUUCUUUUUUUAUCCUUUCCUUUUAGAGUUUGGUCUUCUCUCUGCUGAUUGUUUUCAUCAACAGUCCAAACUUCUGCAAAAUUAUAGGAUCACCUACCGCUCUUGCCUGCUGGUUUUAUCAAGAAACCAAAGAUUCAUUUCCUCUCUUUUGGUUUUCUGUUAUCAGUUCAGAAAGUGGAGAAGUAACCCUAGAAGAAGAACCCUUUUGCAGGAGGCUUAAAGGUUAAGAGAGAACAUAAAAUCACAAAACUGCAUAUUUAAUUUAAUAAGAUCCAUCUCAGAAAAGAAACACCCACAAAAUCAUGGAGUCAAUCUCUGAAAUGGACCGCUCCUACUCUGAAAACACCAGCUUAGACAACAUAAAAACCACCA